UACGUAGGGGGCAAGCGUUGUCCGGAUUUAUUGGGCGUAAAGAGCGUGUAGGCGGCCUGAAAGGUCAGCUGUGAAAACUCGAGGCUCAACCUCGAGACGUCGGUUGAAACCAUCUGGCUAGAGUCCGGAAGAGGAGUGUGGAAUUCCCGGUGCAGCGGUGAAAUGCGCAGAUAUCGGGAAGAACACCCGUGGCGAAGGCGGCACUCUGGGACGGUACUGACGCUGAGACGCGAAAGCGUGGGGAGCGAACAGG
rnacentral:rRNA from 1 species